CGAACAUCUUUUCAUGUGCCUGUUGGCCGUCUGUAUAUCUUGUUUGGAAAAAUGUUCAGACACAAUGCCAAUUUUUUAAUUGGGUUGUUUGUUUUUUUUUUUGGUAGUUUGUGGUUUUGGAUUAUUUGGUCCAUUUCUUCUAAGUUCUUGAAUUUAUGAGCAUAAAGUUGUUUGUAGUGUUAUCUUAUUAUCUUUUUAAUAGCUGCAGGGUCUGUAGAGAUAUCGUUUCAUUCCUGAUAUUGAUGAUUUGUAUCUUCUCUCUUUUUAUCUUUCUCAGUCUUACUAGUGGUUUUUCAAUUUUAUUGUUUCUCUGUUUUCAAUUUUAUUAAUUUUUGCUCUUAUCUUUAUUAUUUCCUUCCUUCUGUUUGCUUUUGAUCUGUUUUGCUCUUUUUUUCUAGUUUCUUGAGGUAGGAACUUAGAUUAUUGAUUUGAGAACUUUCCUCUUUUCUAAUGUAAGCACCUAGUGGUAUAAAUUUCCCUCUCAGCAUUGCUUUAGAACACUGCACAAAUUUUGAUAUGUUGCAUUUUCUCUGUUCUUUCAGUUCUAUAUAUUUGUAAAAUUUCCUUUUGACUUCCGUUUUGACCCAUGGGUUAUUGAGAAGCAUGUUUUAAGUAAGUGUUUUAGAGAUUUUCCUGUUGUGUUUGUGUUAUUGAUUUCGAGUUUGAUUCCCUAUGGUCAGAGAAUGUAUGCUGUAUGAUUUCACUUCUUCUAAGUUCGUUGAGUUUUGCUUUAUGGCUCAGGUAAUGGUCCAUCUUGGUGAAUAUUCCAUGGGCACUUGAAAAGAAUGUCUGUUCUGUUGUUGUUGGGUUGAAUGCUCCGUAAGUACCAAUUAGUUCUUCUUUUUCAUUGCUGAAUUUCUCUCCAGUAGUUCUAUUAAUUGUUGAUAUGGGUGUUGAUGUCAUCAGUUAUAAUUGUGGAUUGAUCUGUUUUUCCUUUCAGCCUAAUUGGUUUUUGCGUCAUGUAUUUUGGAACUAUUUUGUUUAGUGCAUACACAUUUAAGAUUGCUAUGUCUUCUUGGUUGAUUGAUUCUUUUUAUCUUAUGUAAUGUCCCUCUUUGUCCCUAUAAGCUUAU
rnacentral:lncRNA from 1 species